GACUUAUGACCAUGGUAAUAAUUUCUGGAGCAAAGAGUUAGCCUCGAUGUUCCGUCUAUAACUAACUUUAUAAUGUCUUUGUAUUCAAUAUUUCAUGCUAAAGAUCAGUCUUUCUACACUAUUCUAAUGCUCUUACAUUUAUCCCGCAAAUCUCGAUAUUUGUGAUGGUUUUCAGACCGGGGGAGGUCCACGUACGUAGCGCAGCUGUGGGGUCAGGCUUUGAGCGAAGGAGUUGAGGGCAUCGCAGCACCUGGGCCGUUCGACGAGCCAGGCGGCCAGCAGGAGGGCGACCAGGCAUAGCUGGAUCGGGAGGGAAGAGCGCAGAACUCGCCACACCCAGCCUCCGCGGGGACUGUAGUCCGGGUCUCCGGGAUUCGUCUUGUUCCCGGCGACUGUUGCUAUGCUGUUAUCGCUGUUCGAAAAAAUGAUUCCGUUAGCUAUUAAAGUCAAUUCAAAUUAUCGUAAUAUUGUUAGUAGAUCUAAACAAAAAUGGUUUUAAAAUACAGGAUGUUCCAAAAAAGGGAUAUCUAAACUCAAAUAACAUUUUAUGAGAAUAAAUAUUUUUGUCUUACGUGUCCUCGUCGAUCUUAAGAUCUGGAAUGCUUUGCUCGACGAGAGCGCGACACGACUCCUGCAGUAUGCGGACUUCGUUCUCCGUCUGCUCCAUGCGCUGCAAAAGCGGAUUUGUCAUUAAUGAAAUAGUUUUAAAACUUCAUGUCGAAUCGAAUCCUAUGCCUAAGCUCAAUAACUUUAACACCAUUUAACUCUACAUUAACUUUUAACCUUCCAACACAGGCUCUUGUCUACCCGGACAGGCCACAGUAUGUAUCCACGGUCAAUCUGCACAUCAUACGUCGCUACCUUUAAUUCUAUAGAAUAAAGCUUGACCUUAUGUGCAUCUAGCACUUAAA